UAAACAUUGCCACCGCCAACAGAAACAGUUCCAACAAAUAGAGUAUUGUUCUGCCUACACGAUGUUAUUCUGUUUUAGAUGUGCCAUGGAUGUUCUCUGUCGAUCUCUCUCCUCUGUUUCUUUUCUUAAAAUCACUACUGCCACCUUCUCUUCCCCACCGUCGGAUCCCUAUGAACUAUCUCCUUUAUCGGCGGCUUAUGGUUCAUAUUAGUGGGGAUAGAGGGGGAUUUGAUCAAGCAUAUCAGAUUGUGUUAUUUCACUGCCAUUAGUAACCCCCACCAGAGCACCAUUACAGUUUACCCUUUUCAUUAUCGGCAUCUCUCUUUUUCUCUAAAAAGCCCUAAUUGCCACCACGAAGACCAACUACAUGUAGUUCUUGAUAUGGUUCUACUUGCAACAUAUAUAGAAAUAUUAAGUAGUUUGAAAAUUCUGGUGCUUAUAAUGGUAUGAUUUCACAUCUAUCAUCUAUUAUUUUGACAAAUUCCUUCCUGUUUCUCGGCAUUUCUCCCAUAUCUUUGCGUUUUCUAUUCACAAAUCCAGGAUAUAGUGCCCAUUUGCCUUCGUCGAGUCUUCUAGGGUUCAAUCCAACUUACAAAUUUCUCUUAUCUUCUCUCCACAAACCCUAGAUCGAAUCUCUUAUCUUCUCUCCACAAACCUAGAUCGAAUGUUGCUGCCCCCGUCAUCUACAUCAUAUAAGGCAACACCCACCACUAACACUCUCCUCCUUCUCUCUUCUUAUCCGACAACGUUCACCACCACACACCACCGUAUAAACCACCAUCAUUGAUUUUAUCAAUUUCAUCUAUUUCUAAUUUACAAUUUAACUGGAUUUUCAGGUUCCCGUGAAGCCCGCACUACCAUUACCAUCGAGGUCACUCUCACACUAAUCCAUUCAUCUAAUCAUGUGUAAGUGUGUGUUUAUCUUCUUAAAGUUUCAUAAAUACUUUAUCUCUGGUUGUUAAUUAGUUUUUUGUAUGUAUGUGUGUGUUUAACCUUUGAACAACCAUUUUUGUUUCAGCAAGCCCAUGGAUCUUCUUGGCCACUUUUCAUGGUAAUCCAUAACGUUUUGAGCUCCAUAUCUUAGUUUGGAACUUUUGUUCCCAGAUAUAAAACUAUUUGAUUUACCUCUCGGGUUUCCAGUAAACUUAUUUGUAUUUUGCAGGCUCAAGAAGUCUUUAAUGAAGCUGGAGUAUGUGGAUUCUCGAAAGGCACUUAUGUGACUUUACUUAUGGUAUGUGUCAUAUGUUUGAUUUGGAAACAUAUUGUAAGGAAACAUCUUUAAAUUUGAUUUGGUUUUUGGAAGGACUGUAUGUAUGAUGAAAGGGGGUUAUUGUUGUGUAAAAUUAGAAAAGAAGGAAUUUAAUAAAUUCUUGGUUUGGCAAAUGCACAUGGACCUGCAUAAUCUGGAGGUAAAUGUUAGUGGUCAAAAAUUCUAUUAAUUAAGGGUAUUUGUAUUUGAUGUCAAAUUUAUAUUUUUGUUUGUAUUCUAAAUGUUGGUUGCUUGAGAAGGAUCUCUAAAAAAAACCUUAAACAAGCAUCUUA
rnacentral:lncRNA from 1 species